rnacentral:tRNA from 1 species
CCGUCGAUAGCUCAGUUGGUAGAGCGGUGGACUGUAGAGGCUUUCCCGUGGACAUCCAUAGGUCGCUGGUUCAAAUCCGGCUCGACGGA